rnacentral:rRNA from 1 species
AGUUUGCUUACAAACUGGAGAUGGCGACCGGCGCACGGGUGAGUAACACGUAUCCAACCUGCCGAUAACUCGGGGAUAGCCUUUCGAAAGAAAGAUUAAUACCCGAUGGUAUAAUCAGACCGCAUGGUCUUGUUAUUAAAGAAUUUCGGUUAUCGAUGGGGAUGCGUUCCAUUAGGCAGUUGGUGAGGUAACGGCUCACCAAACCUUCGAUGGAUAGGGGUUCUGAGAGGAAGGUCCCCCACAUUGGAACUGAGACACGGUCCAAACUCCUACGGGAGGCAGCAGUGAGGAAUAUUGGUCAAUGGGCGCAGGCCUGAACCAGCCAAGUAGCGUGAAGGGUGACUGCCCUAUGGGUUGUAAACUUCUUUUAUAUGGGAAUAAAGUUUUCCACGUGUGGAAUUUUGUAUGUACCAUAUGAAUAAGGAUCGGCUAACUCCGUGCCAGCAGCCGCGGUAAUACGGAGGAUCCGAGCGUUAUCCGGAUUUAUUGGGUUUAAAGGGAGCGUAGGUGGACAGUUAAGUCAGUUGUGAAAGUUUGCGGCUCAACCGUAAAAUUGCAGUUGAUACUGGCUGUCUUGAGUACAGUAGAGGUGGGCGGAAUUCGUGGUGUAGCGGUGAAAUGCUUAGAUAUCACGAAGAACUCCGAUUGCGAAGGCAGCUCA